GAUGAUCCAGAGUAUACAACUGAAACGGAUGAUCCUGAGGUGACCUCGCCACAUGAGACUGAAGCACCAGAA